UACAGUGGUGGCAAGCGUUGUUCGGAUUUACUGGGCGUAAAGCGUGCGUAGGCGGCCUGCGCGUGUCGGACGUGAAAUCCCGGGGCUCACCCCCGGAAGUGCGUCCGAAACUGCGUGGCUAGGGUCCGGGAGGGGAGAUCGGAAUGCAGGGUGUAGCGGUGAAAUGCGUUGAUAUCCUGCAGAACACCGGUGGCGAAGGCGGAUCUCUGGAACGGAACCGACGCUGAGGCACGAAAGCGUGGGGAGCAAACAGGAUUAGAUACCCUGGUAGUCCCU
rnacentral:rRNA from 1 species